AAUAGAUACCCCGGUAGUCCACGCCGUAAACGAUGAGUGCUAAGUGUUAGAGGGUUUCCGCCCUUUAGUGCUGAAGUUAACGCAUUAAGCACUCCGCCUGGGGAGUACGGCCGCAAGGCUGAAACUCAAAGGAAUUGACGGGGGCCCGCACAAGCGGUGGAGCAUGUGGUUUAAUUCGAAGCAACGCGAAGAACCUUACCAGGUCUUGACAUCCUCUGACAACCCUAGAGAUAGGGCUUCUCCUUCGGGAGCAGAGUGACAGGUGGUGCAUGGUUGUCGUCAGCUCGUGUCGUGAGAUGUUGGGUUAAGUCCCGCAACGAGCGCAACCCUUGAUCUUAGUUGCCAUCAUUCAGUUGGGCACUCUAAGGUGACUGCCGGUGACAAACCGGAGGAAGGUGGGGAUGACGUCAAAUCAUCAUGCCCCUUAUGACCUGGGCUACACACGUGCUACAAUGGACGGUACAAAGAGCUGCAAGACCGCGAGGUGGAGCUAAUCUCAAUAAAACCGUUCUCAGUUCGGAUUGUAGG
rnacentral:rRNA from 1 species